rnacentral:lncRNA from 1 species
CUUUUUUGGACCCAGAUGGGAAAUCAUAACUUGGGAAGCAGAGACUUAGGGGAUGAAGAGCUGAGUCCUCUGGGACCUGUCUUACGGUGCUCCUGCAGAAGGAUCACUAACACAACUGGACAGGAAUGGUUGGGAGCAGUGGGUGGAGUUCAUGUAUCUCAAACAUAGAAAAUAUGUUCCAUCUGUUUCACUGCCAGCCUGGAGAAUCUGCAUUCUCUUCUGCUAGGAAUGCAGAAGGGAUAAACACUGAGAAAUCUGCAUUUGCCAUCUCCAACAGCAUUCUUGAGCUUCCUACUCUCAGGGAGGCUCUCUGUUUCUCUCAGGUGAGGAGCAGCUAAUUCUUGGAUGGAAAACCUGUGCAACUAGUCCUAAACAGAAAAUCACACUAAAAAUUAAUAAAAGGAAAAA